AGUGAACGCUAGCGGGAUGCCUUACACAUGCAAGUCGAACGGCAGCGCGGACUUCGGUCUGGCGGCGAGUGGCGAACGGGUGAGUAAUGUAUCGGAACGUGCCCAGUAGCGGGGGAUAACUACUCGAAAGAGUAGCUAAUACCGCAUACGCCCUACGGGGGAAAGGGGGGGAUCGCAAGGCCUCUCACUAUUGGAGCGGCCGAUAUCGGAUUAGCUAGUUGGUGAGGUAAAGGCUCACCAAGGCGACGAUCCGUAGCUGGUUUGAGAGGACGACCAGCCACACUGGGACUGAGACACGGCACAGACUCCUACGGGAGGCAGCAGUGGGGAAUUUUGGACAAUGGGGGAAACCCUGAUCCAGCCAUUCCGCGUGUGCGAUGAAGGCCUUCGGGUUGUAAAGCACUUUUGGCAGGAAAGAAAUCGCAUCAAUUAAUACUUGGUGUGGAUGACGGUACCUGCAGAAUAAGCACCGGCUAACUACGUGCCAGCAGCCGCAGUAA
rnacentral:rRNA from 1 species